AUGAGACAACUUUGCACAACUUCUUACAGACAUGUGCUAAAAAAUUAUAUCAUUAUUGCAGGGUUCCAAAUCAUGAUGUCUGCAGCUGUAGAGCAGAUAGCUGGUGGUUUCUCAUCUGCAGUUAUUCAACGUGUUGUUGACAAGACAAUGGACUUCCUCGAGAGCAACUACAAUGUAAGCCAUGCUACUGAAGAGCUUCUGACCAAACUCCGCACAAGCCUCACCGUCGUGAAGGCCAUAACCGAGGUGGCUGACAACCAGCUUAUCGUCAGCACUAGUCUUACCAACUGGUUGAGGAACCUCCACAGUGCUGCCUAUGAAGCGGAGGAUGUGCUUGACAGAUUUGAUUGUCAUGAGAUAGUUGCCGGAAAGCGCAAGGUGAGUGAGCUCAUUUCAUCAUCCGUCAGGGCCCUCAAAAGUUUGAUUGUGCCUGAUGAGAGUAUGAAAAGGCUUGAAUGUGUUGUGCAAAAGCUAGACCACCUUUGUGCAACGUCCAACACAUUUGUUGAGCUAAUGAAGCAGAGUAAUUUAACCACCAUGAAGGAGGAAGGAAUUCGGAGAGAGACUACUUCUCGUGUUCCAGUUGAUGUCAAGGUGUUUGGCCGCGAUGAAGUUCUAGAGUUGAUACUGAAAAUUAUUUUGGGUUCAUCUAGCUCUGAACCAGAAUCCAGCAGCUUAAGAGCAAAACUUGGGGCAAGGUACUGCGUUGGCGGUGUUGAUGUCGUCCCAAUUGUUGGUAUGAGUGGGGUUGGGAAGACAACCCUUGCUCAAAUUAUUUACAAUCAUGAAAAUGUGAAGCUUUACUUUAAGCACAGAGCAUGGGUGUAUGUUUCAAAACACUUCAGCAUGAAAAGGACAUUGCAAGAGAUGUUGUGCUCUUUUAAAGGAAAUGAUUCGUCUUUUGACUACACUGAUAGUUUGGAAACAAUUGUCAACAAUAUUCAAAAUGUCUUCCACCCUGAAGAAAGGUUCCUUCUUGUGCUGGACAGUGUUUGGGAUGAGAUGUGUGACCAGUGGAGUAGUUUGCUUACUGCCAUAGCUCGUGAAGUGCCAGGAAGUGUAGUUGUUGUCACAACACAAAGCAAAAGGGUUGCCGAUACAGUGGCGACAAUAUGUCAAGUUCCACUAGCACCUUUGCCAUGGGAGAGUUUUUGGCCAGUGUUCCAGUAUUAUGCAUUUGGCACAAGCAAUGUUGUGGUUGAGAACAAUCCGACUCUUUUGUUUAUUGGUGAGAAAAUAGCAAGAAAACUAGAGGGUCUUCCAUUAGCAGCAAAAGUAAUGGGAAAUCUAUUGAGGUCUAGAUUAACUAUAGACCAGUGGAGAAGCAUCCUGGAGAGUGAUUGGUGGGACCGGAGUGACGUUUUAUGUGAAAUCCUUCCAUACAUGGGAAUUAGUUAUCAAGAUCUACACCCUAGACAGAGGCAGAGCUUUGCUUUCUGUUCGAUCUUUCCACAGAACUACUUGUUUGAUAAGGAUAGAUUGGUCAGUAUGUGGAUUUCUCAUGAUUUCAUCCAACACAGUGGAUUUGAUGGAACUAGAUUAGAGGAUAUCGGAGAUCAGGUUUUUGAUGAACUUGUACAAAGAUCAUUUUUUCAGUCUACAUUCGACAACAAGAGGUACACUAUGCACGAUCUAGUAAGGGCUCUUGCAAUUGCUGUUUCUUCAUAUGAAUGCUUCUUCCACAAAGAGACCUCCCAGAGAGCAUCACCAACUGUUCGCCACUUGGCUCUGCAAGUUGGCAAUCAAAUGCAAAUUCAUGAACUCAACAAGUAUAAGAAUCUGCGGACAAUCUUAUUGUUUGGCCAUUGUGACAGUAAUGCAAUUUGUGAUGUUGUGGACAAUAUGUUGGUCAACUCAAGAAGCAUUCGAGUGUUAGACUUGUCUCAUUUGGAGGUGAUGACGAAUAUGCUGCCUAGCAUUGCAUCCUUGAGAAAUUUGAGGUUCUUAGAUCUUUCUUUCACAAGAUUCAGCAAUUUGCGCAACUUCCCUUGCAAUCUUCAAGUUUUAUACCUCCGUGGAUAUGCUCGCAAUACUAUUCCUCAAACCAUCAACAUGCUUGCCAACUUACGGCACUUGUAUGUUGAUGCUACAGCUCUCUCUCUGAUUCCUGGUAUUGGGCAGCUAAGUCAACUUCAAGAAUUGGAGAACUUCAGUGCUGGAAAGAGAAAUGGAUUCAUGAUAAGUGAGUUGAAGUACAUGCAAGAGUUAUCUGGGAAACUUUGCAUCAGUAACAUCCACAUCAUCAAGAACAAACAUGAGGCAAUGGAUGCCAAUAUGAUUGAGAAGAAGCACCUUGAGGCCUUGGAGUUGAAGGGGAGAAAUGUAUCCAAAGAUGUACUUGAAGGAUUGCAGCCACACCCUAAUCUGCAAGAGCUCAUGAUCGAAGGUUACGGGGCCACAAGUUUCCCGAGCUGGAUGUUAGAAGCUCACCUCUUUACAAAACUAAAGUCCCUUUAUGUUGGAAAUUGCCGACAUCUAGUUGUACUUCCACCAUUUGGAAAGAUCACUUCACUCAAGCAUCUCACUCUAAAUAACUUGCCGUCAGUGAAGCAAGUUGAUGGAACAUCUUUUGAUUGUUUCCCAAAUUUGGAAGACUUAAAAGUUUCUUUGAUGACAUCAUGGACAAACUGGUCACAUGCAGAAAGUGAUCAUGGCCCUCUACUUCAACGCGUCACAAGGUUUGAACUUCAUGAUUGCCCUUUGCUGAAAGAAGUGCCUUAUCUAUCAUUCAUGUCUUCGCUGUCAGAACUUGACAUCUCGGUUUGUGGAGACUUUGUCAAGGCACUGCCACAAUAUGUACAACUCUUGACACAUCUCAAAAAAUUAAGCAUGUCUUUCUGCGAUCACACACUCCUACUCUCUGGGCAACACUUGAAGUCACUUGAGUAUCUAUAUCUUAGAAAAUGUGGAGGGCUGCGUUUGAUUGAUGGGUUACACUGUUUCCCCAACCUCAGGAAAGUUAAUGUUUAUGGUUGCCCCAACAUUCUUACUGAAUUCUCCGACCAAUCAACUAUACAAGAUGAGCAGAGUGGACUUCGACUGACCAAUAUGGUUACAGAUUACAGCUUGUUCAAUAGAAAUUGUUUUCUGCCUUCGGUGCGAGAUCUGCUCAUCGCUUAUAUAGAUGACCUUUAUUUUACCCCAGAGCAGGAGGAAUGGUUUGAACAGCUAAUCUCUGUCGAAAAAAUCGAGUUUGGUUUCUGUAAUUUUCUGGAACGGCUCCCUACUACACUAGCAAGACUUACCUCAUUAACAAUACUUCAUCUCAAAUGGACAAGACCAGUUUUCCUGGAAGGAGUUGUACCACAGAACCUCCAAGAAUUGGUCAUGAAUGGCUUUUCGGGUGAGACAGAAAACAAUUUCAAACCUGGAGGAUCAGAAUGGGUAAACAUUUCCCAUGUUCCAUAUAUUCGGCUUAAUGACAAGACAGUCCAAAAUCUGUCAGUUAAUGCUGCCUCAUCAUCCUCAAACCACCAAAGUUAA
rnacentral:rRNA from 1 species